UGCUGGGAAAGAUUGAAGGCGGGAGGAGAAGGGGACAAUAGAGGAUGAGAUGUUUGGAUGGCAUCGGUGACUCAAUGGACCCCAUGACUCAAUGGACAUGAGUUUGAGCAAGCUCUGGGGGUUGGUGAUAGACAGGAAACCUGGCAUGCUGCAGUCCAUGGGGUCACAAAGAGUCGGACAUGACUGAGCGACUGAACUGACUGAACUGAUGGAGUGGAGGUGUCCCCUCUGACCUUUCUACCCCUCUUUUGUUCUUCAACAGAAAGAUUCCACAAAGGCAGCUGGGAAGAUUACACAAAGCAGAGUUGACUUGAGUUUCCAGUCUGGCAUCUGUGCUUCCCAAACAGUCAUCCUUAUGUCAUCUGGUCCUCUGCCCUUUUGAAACCAGAUCUCAGCCAACAGAGUUCAGUAUGGAACCGCUCGACAAGCCUGAAUCAUCAGUUUCUCGCCUCUGCAGUCUUAGGAUCUGCUGGGUUGAAGGCCCUCGUUUCCAGGGCUGAUGAAGUAGCGCUUUGUAAAGGGCUGCAGCAGUGGGCCCAGUAGACUUGAAGCUGUGACUCCUGCUUGGACACUUUGGAAUCCUCGUGGUGUUGCACCAGUCAUCCUAAUUUCGGUGAGCUUUAUCAUAUGUCCCAGUGAGGAUCUGGAAUUAUCACUACCCCAAUAGGGAUAUAAAGAAGUGGGUCUAAAAUGCAAGAAACUCACCAAGUCAUCUUUUGAUGCCUUCAAACCCAGUGAUAAUCACACGUUGAAAAUCAUAGCAAUCGUAA
rnacentral:lncRNA from 1 species